GAUGAAGAACGCAGCGAAAUGCGAUAAGUAGUGUGAAUUGCAGAAUUCAGUGAAUCAUCGAAUCUUUGAACGCACAUUGCGCCUUCUAGUAUUCUGGGAGGCAUGCCUGUUUGAGCGUCAUUAAACCUCUCUCAAGUAUGAUUACUUGGAUGUGAAGGAAGAGUACCUUAAACUUAAGGAGUGUUCUCUUUUGAAAUUGAUUAGCAGAUGGUAAUGUUAUUAAAUCCCUGAUGUUGUAAGAAAUAACAGUGGUUUUGUAGACUAUUAUCUAGCUUUAAAUUAUAAUUUUUAUUAUGGUUGACCUCAAAUCAGGUAAGGAUACCCGCUGAACUUAAGCAUAUCAAUAAGCGGAGGA
rnacentral:misc_RNA from 1 species